AUUGAACGCUGGCGGCAUGCUUUACACAUGCAAGUCGAACGGUAACAGGGUGCUUGCACCGCUGACGAGUGGCGAACGGGUGAGUAAUGCGUCGGAACGUGCCGAGUAGUGGGGGAUAACGCAUCGAAAGGUGUGCUAAUACCGCAUACGUACUGAGGUAGAAAGUGGGGGACCUUCGGGCCUCACGCUAUUCGAGCGGCCGACGUCUGAUUAGCUAGUUGGUGAGGUAAAGGCUCACAAAGGCGACGAUCGGUAGCGGGUCUGAGAGGAUGAUCGGCCACACCGGGACUGAGACACGGCCCAGACCCCUACGGGGGGCAGCAGUGGGGAAUUUUGGACAAUGGGCGCAAGCCUGAUCCAGCCAUGCCGCGUGUCUGAAGAAGGCCUUCGGGUUGUAAAGGACUUUUGUCCGGGAGCAAAUGCCUGGUGUUAAUAGCACUGGGAGCUGAGAGUACCGGAAGAAUAAGCACCGGCUAACUACGUGCCAGCCGCCGCCGUAAGAC
rnacentral:rRNA from 1 species